GAUGAACGCUGGCGGCGUGCCUAAUACAUGCAAGUCGAGCGAACAGACUAGGAGCUUGCUCCUCUGACGUUAGCUGCGGACGGGUGAGUAACACGUGGAUAACCUACCUAUAAGACUGGGAUAACUUCGGGAAACCGGAGCUAAUACCGGAUAAUAUAUUGAACCGCAUGGUUCAAUAGUGAAAGACGGUUUUGCUGUCACUUAUAGAUGGAUCCGCGCCGCAUUAGCUAGUUGGUAAGGUAACGGCUUACCAAGGCAACGAUGCGUAGCCGACCUGAGAGGGUGAUCGGCCACACUGGAACUGAGACACGGUCCAGACUCCUACGGGAGGCAGCAGUAGGGAACCUUCCGCAAUGGGCGAAAGCCUGACGGAGCAACGCCGCGUGAGUGAUGAAGGUCUUCGGAUCGUAAAACUCUGUUAUUAGGGAAGAACAAAUGUGUAAGUAACUAUGCACGUCUUGACGGUACCUAAUCAGAAAGCCACGGCUAACUACGUG
rnacentral:rRNA from 1 species